AGGACACAGAAUCUCACUGGAACCAUCAAGCUGAUCAAGAUGUUUGUUUUCUUUGCAGCUGUUCUGUUCACUUUCCAUCUGUCAUCAGAGACUGUUUGGGCAACAAACACCUCUGCUACAACAACCACCUCUGCUCCAACAACCACCACUUCAUCCAAUGCUACGACUCCAAAUGGCGCCCCAUCUUCACCCUCUACCUUCAAAUUUCCACUGGUGCUGCUUCCUCUGGCUUUAACAGCUUCCCAACUUUAUGUCUGACGCCACAAGAUGACAGUUUGGAAAGUUGUCAUCUGCUCAUCUAACAUUAUCUUCAAUGGAAAUCUUUCAAGAAAUCUGCCUAUUUAAUUUUGUGGAGGGAACUAUAUCAAGGUUUUCAUGGACUACAGCGAUCCAGCAAUUGUUGUUGCUCUACUCAAGUCCUGAUUUUCAAUUGGUGCUGUCAUGGACUUUAAGAUUUUCUUAUUCAGAAAAAUUCUUAUAUUUCUGUGUGGUGGUGGGUCAAAAUGUCUUAACAUUUUAAUUUGCUUUCAAAUUUUAAGCGGUGUGCCUUAAAUCCUUUCAGUUGAAUGAAGCUGUAAUGACAAAUGUAUUCUUGCUGAUUUAUUGUAGAACAUAAGUGAAUGCAUCUAUCGUUAAAUAAACUGCCAGUGAAAGAUA